GCUUCUGUCUUGUUACUCUGUCAUUUUGAAGGAGUAUGGUUGAAGCUGGGUUGCCUCAGGCUCCAUGCCCAUGAUACCUUCUUUCGUAAAGGAGCACACGGAAGUCCUCAGAGUAAACAAUUCCUUUGUAAAUAAAGGAGGGAGAAAUGACACAAUGGUUUCCAUUCACAUUCCGUUUGCAAGAACUUGAUCACAUGACCCCACCAGCUGCCAGGACAGAAAGGUGGUAGCCUGGAAUUGCAGCCACUACCCUCUUACUGUGAGGAUGACGCCGGCCUAGGGAUAAGAGCAGGUCUGGAUUUUAUGAAGACCGUUUACAGAAGAGCAUUUGGUGAUAUGCGUUGUCUCCGCAGAUGACAUUGUUACUCAGCUUCCUUCCCCAGCCACAUGUUGCACUUGCCCUUUCUCUGUUUACUAAUCUCACCGGAGCUCCAAUCCAGCCCCUCUCUUUAUAAAGGCUGCUUGCACUUUCAUGCAAACAAAUGUCAGAAAUACAA